rnacentral:rRNA from 1 species
CAGUCGCCACGGGAAUACAGAGGGUGCGAGCGUUAAUCGGAUUUACUGGGCGUAAAGCGUGCGUAGGCGGCUUCUUAAGUCGGAUGUGAAAUCCCUGAGCUUAACUUAGGAAUUGCAUUCGAUACUGGGAAGCUAGAGUAUGGGAGAGGAUGGUAGAAUUCCAGGUGUAGCGGUGAAAUGCGUAGAGAUCUGGAGGAAUACCGAUGGCGAAGGCAGCCAUCUGGCCUAAUACUGACGCUGAGGUACGAAAGCAUGGGGAGCAAACAGGAUUAGAUACCCCAGUAGUCCCUGUCUCUUAUAU